rnacentral:rRNA from 1 species
AGACGGAGGGCGCAAGCGUUGUUCGGAAUUACUGGGCGUAAAGGGCAGGUAGGUGGUCUGUUAAGUCUUCUGUGAAAAUCCGGGGCUCAACCCCGCGAAAUGCAGGUGAAACUGGCAGACUAGAGACCGGUAGAGGCUAGCGGAAUUCCUGGUGUAGCGGUGGAAUGCGUAGAUAUCAGGAAGAACACCUGUGGCGAAGGCGGCUAGCUGGGCCGGUUCUGACACUAAACUGCGAAAGCGUGGGGAGCAAACAGGAUUAGAAACCCUAGUAGUCC